UCCCAGCCCCAGAGGGAUGUGAAACCGAGAGGGGAACAAUGGCUCAGCUGAUGCCUUACAUGCUGAUCUGCAAAAUUCUCCCCAGCAUAGGAUUCCUAUUUUGUUUUCAUUGCAAUCGUGGGCUUGGCCAGAGACUUGAGCUGGGGCCAUGGAGUGGUGUACUGAAUGGAAUCCUGAAUCUGGAGUCCAGAAGCCUGGAACUAAGUAGUCCUAGGGGUUACUAAUUGUGGAAUCAUUGUUUGGAAGUGAAGAUGGUGGAAGAGAGAGAAGACAUGGCGGAACCCAUGAGUUACAUGGAUAUUCUUGGAAUGUGAAAGAUCCAGAGGAAGACCUUCAAAGCACCAUCCUUCUAUGAGAUGACAUGGACAAUAAUAUCAUGGAAUGAAAUGGCAUGAAUGAAUUGUCUCUAACCCUUAAGGGAAAUUAUGGGGAAAUAUCAAAUUAGUAGACUUGCUUCAUAAGGCUGAGUGUUCUUCACAUCUACUCCAGACUCGCCAUCUUGCCUGAUGCUUUGGCCAUCUUCAUGCCAUUCUUUCUUUUCCCUUCCCAAACCUUGUCUUUACCCUUCUCUUCAACACACACACACACACACACACACACACACACUUUCUGACUCUAGUUCUGAGAAUAAUAAUCAAAUCUACAUUCUCAUUCUUGGAUCAAACACAUUCAUCAAUUGCCCUAUGGAUCUAUUCACUGUUUCAGUGACUUCUCAGACUAAAUCAUAUCUCCACAGCCACCACUACUUUAUAUGUUGCUUUCUCUCUUUAGAAUAUAAGCUUCUUGAAAGCAGGGUCUGUCUUGCCUUUUCAUUUGUACCCCAAAGUUGAGCAUACAUAAUACCUGGCACAAAAUAAAAGCUUAAUAAAUGCAUUUCA